AUUUCAUUUUGAUUUCAUUUUUAUUUUAUUUUUAUUUCAUAACCUUUACAAUUCACAUUUCAUAAUAUUUAC
rnacentral:ribozyme from 1 species